UACGGCCAUAUCAGCUUGAAACACCGAUUCCCGUCUUAUCACCGAAGUUAAACAACGUUGAGACUAGUGAGUGCCUAAAUGAGUGACCGCUUUAGAAUACUGGCUGCUGUAA